GUGCUUACUUCCGCAGCACUCGUACUAAAAUUGUAACGAUACAGAGAAGAUUAGCAUGUCCCCUGCGCAAAGAUGACAUGUAAAUUCAUGAAGCAUUCCAGAUUUUU